GAGGGCAUCGGAUCCCAUUACAGAUGGUUGUGAGACACCUUGGGGUUGCUGGGAAUUGAACUCAGGACCUCUGGAAGAGCAGUCACUGCUCUCAAUUGCUGAGCCAUCUCUCGAGCUGUUUAAUUCCUUCUUUAGAGCUUUUUUAUGAUUUCAUUUAUGAUUCAAUGAGCUGAUGACAUUUCAUAACAGUCUUUAGGACUGUGAUGGGCAUGUAAAUGGUAAACACUAUAUAAGAAUAAUCUUGUGUGCUCUAACCCUCACAUUUGGGAAACUGAGGCAGGAGGACUGCUUCAAGUUAGAGGUCAGCAAAGUAAUACUCUUUAGAAAGAAAGAAACAGGGAGUGUGCUGGCACAUCCUGUACUACCAGCAGUGGGAAUGCUGAGGCAGGAGGAUUGGAGUUCAAGACCAGAUAGUGCUACACAAUGAGUCCCUGAGUGGGAAAAGAACGAAAGAAAUACAGGGGAUGGCAGCGCACUCUUUUAGAGGCUGAGGCAGGAUGAGUGUGGAGUUUGAGGACGGCUAGGUCAGUCUGGACUACAUAGUGAAACUUUGUUUGGAACAUCAAUGAUAAUAAUGAAGGAAGGAGUCAUCUCCAGCCCAGUAGGGGUGCGCACCUCUAAUCACAGCACUCAGGCUGGUGGAAGAGGCAGGGCAAUCUUUGAGUUUCAGGGCAGCCUUGUAUACAGAGUAAGUUCCAGGACAGACAGGGCUACACAGAGAAACCCUGUCUCAAAAGAAAAAAAUCAUGUUGGGCUAGGCUGGCUAGCAUGCAGGAUGUCCUGAGUUCUAUCCACAGCACUGUAGACUUUAAAGAUUUAUUUAUUUUAUUUAUAGAUGGUUGCAAGCCACCAUGUGGUUGCUGGGAUUUGAACUCAGGACCUCUGGAAGAGCAGUCAGUGCUCUUAACCACUGAGCCAUCUCUCCAGCCCAGCACUGUAGACUUUAAAAAAAAAA
rnacentral:lncRNA from 1 species